rnacentral:rRNA from 1 species
AGGACGAACGCUGGCGGCGCGCUUAACACAUGCAAGUCGAGCGAGAACCGGGACUUCGGUCCCGGGGACAGCGGCGAACGGGUGAGUAACACGUGGGUAAUCAACCCUCGGCACCGGGAUAGCCCGAGGAAACUCGGAUUAAUACCGGAUAGCCCCUCCGACUCUCGAGUCGGUCGGGAAAGGUAGCUUAGGCCUCUGGCCGGGGACGAGCCCGCGGCGGAUUAGCUUGUUGGUGGGGUAAUGGCCUACCAAGGCAACGAUCCGUAGCUGGUCUGAGAGGACGAUCAGCCACACUGGGACUGAGACACGGCCCAGACUCCUACGGGAGGCAGCAGUGGGGAAUCUUGCGCAAUGGGCGAAAGCCUGACGCAGCAACG